rnacentral:rRNA from 1 species
AGAGUUUGAUCAUGGCUCAGAUUGAACGCUGGCGGCAUGCUUUACACAUGCAAGUCGAACGGCAGCACGGGGGUAACCCUGGUGGCGAGUGGCGAACGGGUGAGGAAUGCACCGGAACGUGUCUUCAAGUGGGGGAUAACGCAUCGAAAGGUGUGCUAAUACCGCAUAAUCUCUGAGGAGAAAAGCAGGGGAUCGCAAGACCUUGCGCUUUUGGAGCGGCCGAUGCCUGAUUAGCUUGUUGGUGAGGUAAAAGCUCACCAAGGCUUCGAUCAGUAGCUGGUCUGAGAGGACGACCAGCCACACUGGGACUGAGACACGGCCCAGACUCCUACGGGAGGCAGCAGUGGGGAAUUUUGGACAAUGGGGGCAACCCUGAUCCAGCCAUGCCGCGUGAGUGAAGAAGGCCUUCGGGUUGUAAAGCUCUUUCAGCCGGAACGAAACGGUUACGGUUAAUACCCGUGACUACUGACGGUACCGGAAGAAGAAGCACCGGCUAACUACGUGCCAGCAGCCGCGGUAAUACGUAGGGUGCAAGCGUUAAUCGGAAUUACUGGGCGUAAAGCGUGCGCAGGUGGUUUUAUAAGUCAGAUGUGAAAUCCCCGGGCUUAACCUGGGAACUGCGUUUGAAACUGCAAGGCUAGAGUGUG